rnacentral:lncRNA from 1 species
AUUAUGUUUCUAAACAGUUUCAAGAGUUGUGUGCAUUUGCCUCCUAUAACGGUUGCACAUAUGCAUUACUGUUGUAGAUGUCCUAUGUAUGUCCUAAAUGGAAGGCUAAAUAUUUUGGAAGGUUUAAGAUAUAAAAGGUCCUCAGGGGAGCCUGACAGGAGAGGGUCUUGGCAUAUUCAAAGAACAAGAAGAUUUGAAUCUGUAAAACCUAGAGAAGUCAUCACAGGAAAGGACAACAAUAACAGAGUAAAUGCCACUUAUGGCUGGCGCUAUUUUGAACUUCUAUUGUUUUCAUUAUCCUGAGUUGAACCUGGGGCCUUGCAUUUGUGAGGCCAGCACUAUAUUGCUUGAGCCACACUCCCAGCCCCCUUUUAAAGUCUGACACUAAGCUUGUGAUCCCCCUGCCUCAGCCUCAGAAGUAGUUCGGAUUACAGUUGUGCAUCCUCAUCAUGCCUGGCAGGCGCUCACUUUUAUCCAAUAGUUCUGUGGAUGUGAUCAAUGAAUCGGAGAGCACGGAGAAGUCAUCCAGCUGAGUUCUCAGGACAAAAAGCAUCUUCUGAGCAAUCAAGGGAAACUAAGACACGGUGUAAACAUGUAAGCAUCUUUCGGGCGCUGUAAACAGAUGCACCAUUGGCCACCCUCCUCCUGCUGCUGUUUAAACUAGACCCCAAGCAACUGCUUCAGACCGCCCUAACCCAGAAUGAAUGAAAGGGGAACACUGCCCUCUAGAGGCUGCUAAGAGAAGAGAGCUUCAUGUUUGGUCUCUAAAGCUAUAAUUAUACAAAGCACCACAUAACAUGAGUCAAAACGCAGUGCACUGGAAAUCUGAAGAAGUGGACUUAGGUUUAGGGCUUUAAAGCAACCGCAGCAGUGACCUCAGGCGGCUAAAAUCCCCCGUGGACUCCACGUACUCUACAGUCAUGCAUGAAUCACAGAGUCUGUGUGGAGGCCAGAAGACAACCUGCAAACGUCGGCUCUCUCCUACCAGUUACAUUUAGGGAUUUGAACUCAGAUCCUCAGGCUUGGAGGCAAGCGCCUUUACGCACUGGUCCAUCCUGCUGGCCUCAUAGAUAAUACAUUACAACACAAGUCCAUGAAUCUUUAUUCUUUUAAAUGGCCUGUUUAAAAAAAAACCCAGCUUAACUUGUUGGCCCCAUACAAAGCAGAUGACAUAAUAUCAGCCUUCAGAGUCCCCAGGUGACAGUGGACAAGCUACCCUAUUAACAUCAGUCCUUCAGAUGGCUGCGUAGAACCCAGUUGGGUACCCUGAGAGAAUCACACCUGAGUAUGUGAAACAGAAGAGUUCAAAGCACGAUCCGUGAGAAAUCUCCAGCAGAGACGAUAGCUUCAGUCCACAAUCAUGCUGGUAUCUUGAGUUGAAUUACCACUCUUGAAAAUGAUCAUGGUAAGCCACAGAGACAGAGCUUCGGAUCUGCGUCAGUGACAAGUUUAUUUAGCCUGUAAUUAGUUAAGGUUGUCUUAUAUUGGCCAUCAAACUGCAACACAGGCAUCUGCUUAGGGAAGCUGACGUGUGUAUCUGUGCUGUUUUCGAUUUGGGUUGUACAUUUUGAAAAAAAAAAAGUUUUAGAAAUCUUUUGACAUGCGUUUACCGUGUGCUUGUGGGUGAAGUGGAAACUUAGGAGUUCUUUGGAAGAUCAGCUGGCUAGUGUUUUGCUGGGCCAAACACCGGAAGGAGUUUAACACUUUGUGUUAACGAGGACACAGGUGUGAAAGGCUAAGGCCGAGUCGAGAAGAGGAAUGUUUUGCUGAAGCAGACAUAGGAGAGAGGAUGUUCUGCUCAAGCAAGCAUGCGAAAGGACAUGUGAUGAAGGAUUCUUCGCUAAUGACACACAUGUAAUCGGUCCACUUUACAUUGCAUGGUCGAGCUGCAUUUCUUGGGAUGCCAUAGAAAGAAAUGAACACAAAACCUUCCUGGUGGUGCGCUGCAGUUUGUGUCUGCUUCUGAGGACUCCGGCUGAUUGGAUGCAGGUACUGAGGUAAGGAACAUGGAGGACACAUGACAGAAAUAGAGCUGGUAAUCACGUUGCUGUGCGAAACCUCACGUCUUCACUUAUCUUUGAUUCCCUGAGAGAGGCACAGCCAAGAACAUCUCCUGAUGUUCGCCUUGGUUCCUCUUGCUGACUUGAACCAAAGCUGAGGCCCAGCUGUCUCUGCCAGGGUCACUCCUGUUGCUAACUCAACUCUACCGAACUGGACUGGACUGGACUGCUGGUGUGAAGUGUUUGACGAGUGGCCCGAGCCUGUUAAUCUGUGAACUGCUGAUUUCCAGACAAUACAGAUGGGAAUUGCUCCAAAGAUCCUUUAUAAACAAGUAUACUUCCCCUUGCACUGCUGCUGUCUUCAGACACCCCAAGAGGUCACUGGAUGCUGUUACAGAUGGCUGUGAGCCACCAUGUGGUUGCUGGGAAUUGAACUCAGGACCUCUAGAUGAGCAGUCAGUGCUCUUAACCGCUGAGCCAUCCCUCCAGCCCUCCCUUAAUGUUCUUAAGGGAUCAAAUCACUUAAAUUUGAGGGGAAAUGAUAUUAAAAUAAGAUCAGAAAGGCAUCCGAGAUGCUUAAUGAUGUACCAGGACACACUCAGGGCUCUUUCUUUCCUUUUAAUUCCUCUCUCCCCUUGGUGCCAUUUUGUGCCCACCACGGAAUCAAGAGCUUGAGGUUAGGGCGUCUAACAUUGAGGAUGUGCCCUUUCUUGUUUCUGACCAUUCGGCAAUGUGUUCAGGGAGUGUAAGAUCAUUAGAUCCUCAGUGGCACUUGCUACUCAUCAGCUUACUCCUGUGCUUUCUGACAGCUGGCCCCUUCCAUUGCCCCCCCCCCCCCGCCCCAAUCUCAAACUCAAUAAAAUGAUGUAUUCGUUCGUCCUCCGCUCAUUCCAACAUAUCUUUC